rnacentral:rRNA from 1 species
UGGUGGAGUGAUUUGUCUGGUUAAUUCCGUUAACGAACGAGACCUUAUCUGGCUAAGUAGCUACGCAUAGCUGUGGUUUUGUGGACAGUUUCUUAGAGGGACUUCGUGCGCCUAGCAUGAGGAAGUUUGAGGCAAUAACA